rnacentral:rRNA from 1 species
UACACUCCUACGGGAGGCAGCAGUGGGGAAUUUUGGACAAUGGGCGAAAGCCUGAUCCAGCAAUGCCGCGUGCAGGAUGAAGGCCUUCGGGUUGUAAACUGCUUUUGUACGGAACGAAAAAGCUCCUUCUAAUACAGGGGGCCCAUGACGGUACCGUAAGAAUAAGCACCGGCUAACUACGUGCCAGCAGCCGCGGUAAUACGUAGGGUGCGAGCGUUAAUCGGAAUUACUGGGCGUAAAGCGUGCGCAGGCGGUUAUGUAAGACAGAUGUGAAAUCCCCGGGCUCAACCUGGGAACUGCAUUUGUGACUGCAUGGCUAGAGUACGGUAGAGGGGGAUGGAAUUCCGCGUGUAGCAGUGAAAUGCGUAGAUAUGCGGAGGAACACCGAUGGCGAAGGCAAUCCCCUGGACCUGUACUGACGCUCAUGCACGAAGGCGUGGGGAGCAAACAGGAUUAGAAACCCGAGUAGUCCCAUG